ACCAGCGUCUAUAUCACGUUGAAUAUACCAGUUCUCGUUAGAUCACUGAAGUUAAGCGACGUCGAGCGUGGUUACCUGGAUGGGUGACCGUCUCAAGAACGUGAUGCUGGCU
rnacentral:rRNA from 1 species